CCUACGGGUGGCAGCAGUGAGGAAUAUUGGUCAAUGGACGGAAGUCUGAACCAGCCAUGCCGCGUGCAGGAUGACGGUUCUGUGAGUCGUAAACUUCUUUUGUAUGAGGAUAAACACGCCUACGUGUCGGCGCAUGAGAGUAUAAUACGAAAAAGGAUCGGCUAACUCCGUGCCAGCAGCCGCGGUAAUACGGAGGAUCCAAGCGUUAUCCGGAUUUAUUGGGUUUAAAGGGUGCGUAGGCGGUUUGAUAAGUUAGGGGUGAAAUACCGGUGCUCAACCCCGGACCUGCCUUUAAUACUGUUGAACUAGAGAGUAGGUGCGGUAGGCGGAAUGUAUGGUGUAGCGGUGAAAUGCUUAGAGAUCGUACAGAACACCGAUUGCGAAGGCAGCUUACCGAACU
rnacentral:rRNA from 1 species